GAUUCUGGUAAUAUUUUAUCUAAGAUUUACAGAGACUUAUUUAAUAUAUUCCUCCAUGUACAAAUGUUGUCUUCCUUCUAGAAUAUAUGUUCCUUGAGGACAGAGAUUGUUCCUAUUGUAGCCCGAAUUCCUAAUUCAAUACCUGGUACAUAUCGGUACUUGACCAAAGAGUGAGAAAGGGGCAGAUCUUGUCCUGGUCAAAAACAUAAGAAUAUGUCCCAAGGAUUCCUUUUUUUCCCACUGUGUCUCACUGCCAGAAGAAAGCCAAUUUCUACAAGUGACAAAGAAGAUAUUUCCAUGGGCCAUUUCUUCCACCCUCAGAUGUUUCCAGGUGUUCCAACUCCCCAACUUGUGAGGAUACUGAUUUUAAACUCUGCCCUCAGGCAGAAACAGCAAAUUCUCCAGUAGAGACAUUCAGAGCAGUGGUGCCUCUUUCAGUGUCAAAUCCUCCCAGACUGAGGAGAAAUCUGGACAUUUUGGAGACUUCACCCAGCUUUUUGAGGGGUCCAAGGCCAGUACCCUCCUUGAUCUGUCCUGGGGAGAUAAACGAAAGAAACUGGAGAACCCAAUUAACUUCUAAAAUUCUAUGGUCCUAAGGAAUGAAGAAAAACUUAUGAAAUCUCACAAGGUAAAGUAUUUAAGUGUUUGGCUUAGUCUUAUAUUUUAACAUUUUCAACAAUGAUCCAGAAGAAAGAUGAAUAUCUUAAAAUAAA